rnacentral:misc_RNA from 1 species
CGUACCUUUGUUGCUUUGGCAGGCCCGUCCUCGGACCGCCGGCUUCGGCUGGUCUGCGCCUGCCAGAGGACCCAAAACUCUGUCUGUCUGUGUCGUCUGAGUACUAUAUAAUAGUUAAAACUUUCAACAACGGAUCUCUUGGUUCUGGCAUCGAUGAGGAACGCAGCGAAAUGCGAUAAGUAAUGUGAAUUGCAGAAUUCAGUGAAUCAUCGAAUCUUUGAACGCAUAUUGCGCCCUCUGGUAUUCCGGAGGGCAUGCCUGUUCGAGCGUCAUUACAACCCCCAAGCUCUGCUUGGUAUUGGGCACUGCCGGUCCUGGCAGGCCUCAAAGUCAGUGGCGGUGCCACCCGGCUCCAAGCGUACUAAUUCUUCUCGCUUCGGAGGCCGCGGUGCGUGCUGCCAGCAACCCCCAAUUUUUUCAGGUUGACCUC